UGACUGAGUGGCGGACGGGUGAGUAACGCGUGGGUAACCUGCCCUGUACUGGGGGACAACAGUUAGAAAUGACUGCUAAUACCGCAUAAGCGCACAGGACCGCAUGGUCCGGUGUGAAAAACUCCGGUGGUACAGGAUGGACCCGCGUCUGAUUAGGUAGUUGGCGGGGUAACGGCCCACCAAGCCGACGAUCAGUAGCCGACCUGAGAGGGUGACCGGCCACAUUGGGACUGAGACACGGCCCAAACUCCUACGGAAGGCAGCAG
rnacentral:rRNA from 1 species